rnacentral:miRNA from 8 species
UAGGGAGCGGCCCCCGGGGCGG